AUUGAACGCUGGCGGCAUGCCUUACACAUGCAAGUCGAACGGUAACAGGUCUUCGGAUGCUGACGAGUGGCGAACGGGCGAGUAAUACAUCGGAACGUGCCCGAUCGUGGGGGAUAACGGAGCGAAAGCUUUGCUAAUACCGCAUACGAUCUACGGAUGAAAGCAGGGGACCGCAAGGCCUUGCGCGGACGGAGCGGCCGAUGGCAGAUUAGGUAGUUGGUGGGAUAAAAGCUUACCAAGCCGACGAUCUGUAGCUGGUCUGAGAGGACGACCAGCCACACUGGGACUGAGAAAAGGCCCAGACUCCUGCGGGAGGCAGCAGUGGGGAAUUUUGGACAAUGGGCGAAAGCCUGAUCCAGCCAUGCCGCGUGCAGGAUGAGGGCCUUCGGGUUGUAAACUGCUCUUGUACGGAACGAAACGGCUCUUUCUAAUAAAGAGGGCUAAUGACGGUACCGUAAGAAUAAGCACCGGCUAACUACGUGCCAGCCGCCGCGGUAAGAC
rnacentral:rRNA from 1 species